UUUUAUUCUUUGAGAGAAAAUUUUGGUACAAGGAUCUCCAUAUUUUGAAGAUUCUAUACCAGUGCAUAUAAUGUUGAUACCUGAUCCUUUCUUUAAUUUCAGGUUAUUACUGAAUAUCUUCAAAAAAUUGAUCCUAAGUUGGAUGGUGCAAAGAUGGAUUGGGUUGCUAUUUAUGAUGAAUGUGCCUUUGUCUUAUAUCAGGUGAUGAAUGCUGCAAAGUGGCCCACAUAUAUUUCUUUAACACCGGGAAUGAUUCGUUGGCUCAGUGCUACUGUUUGAUCAUGUUGUUACGGAUUCGAGGCUGAAUUUUAUCAUCUAUUAAGUAAACUAAUCUAUUUUGUGUUCCAGGUAUAUACUGAGUGUUUUGAUCAGAAUAUAGGGUAAUAGAUACUUAUCCAAUGUUUUGAUUCUAUAUAUAAAUCUCAAAUCUCAUUUGAUUAUAUAUCAAUGUCAUGAUAAACAAAAUUAACUAUACUUAGAUACCUAUAUCAGAAUAUAUGAAUCCCUUCAUUUAUAUCAAGAGCCUAUACAGACCAACUAAGAUACUACUACAAGUUUUUAAUGUUUUCAUCUAAUGCUGCACCAGGUAUUUGACAAAACUCCUUUAUUUGCAAUGUAACAACAUUUAAUGAUUUAUGCUUGGUUCAGUGAUGUAGUAACACUUUAUUUAUAGAAAAACUAUAUAUACUACUAUGUUUCUCUGAUGGUAGAAGUUAUAUCUUUGUGCACUUUAAUGAUUUUAUGAUUUAUUGUUAUAGUCAGCUAAAAAAUGAGCUUAACGAGGAGAAUUCGUAGCUUGCAGAGGAAAAUCUAUAAAAGGAACCUCAUAACAUGGAACUUAGGAAUUAGGUAAGAUCACACUCAUCUGCAUUCAUCUUGGUACCAUGUCGUCGGGGUUCAAAUAUUUAAAUAGCUCUCUUAAAAUUUGUUAAUCAAGAUUGGAUGAUGCCGACCUGCUGACAGCGUGAAUGCAGGAGUUCACUACCUGUGGGAGUUAAUUCCUAAUAAGCAAAAUUCUAUGCUGGUUUACAUUUGUUUCUUUCGUACUUUCAAAUCAACACAUUAGAGGUAAGGAUUUAAAACACAAACGAAUGCUAAUUGAUGUCGGUGAUGUCCUUAUUCAAGAAAUUCGAGAUUAUGACAUAGAUGAUAAAAGAUUGAUGAGUGUCAUUGGCAAAUCUGUCAUUGGCUAACUCAAGUUAUGGCUUAUAUUUUUUCUGUUAUAUAAGUUCAGGCGACAAUGAUCUAAUCGUUAACGAGCGAAUUACUGAUGGCGAUGUUGGCGUGAUUCCGGAAUCUACAUUUCUGUCUAUCUACCCUUAUGUUAAUAUUGAUGACAAUGUUGGUGUGAUUCUGGAAUCUACUAGCUUCUGGUGCAUGUUAAAUUUAUUUGUAUUAAUGUUUAUUUUUAGUAAGCAUUUU